UUAAAAAUGAGCGAAUGGAAAUGGUUGUCGAAGGAAAUUGAAGGAAAUCCUUGGACUGCUGCGCUUUUCAUUGUAAUUUUGUGUAAAUAAAAUUUAGUAUAUUUGUUUUGUAAUAAGUACUUAAAUGUUAUCAGUGGACUAUUUUAGUUGCUAUAAUGUCACGUAGUUCGAUUGAGGGGAAACUGAAAGGUUUGCAAGAAAGAUUCGAAAAUGAAAUGCGUAUUGAAAGAGAAGGUGGUUUCAACAACCAAGGUGGAAUUGGGACUCCUAGACCUGGGAGCGGCAGGAGCAGGCCGAGGCCCCCACUUAUGUUUUCAAAUAGAGAAAUCCCACCGUUUCCACCGAGAUCACCGCAAGCUACUGAGACUGAAUACAGAAUGCGAGAGGUGUACAAGGUGAGCGGCAAACUGAACGUAGACGGCGUAGAGUACAGAUCGCACGUGGACGACUUGCAGCAGCUGGGCGAGCUCGGCAGCGGCACCUGCGGUCACGUCGUCAAGAUGCUGCACAAGCCUUCUAACACUGUUAUAGCUGUUAAGCAAAUGCGUCGCUCCGGCAACUCAGAAGAGACCAAGCGCAUUCUAAUGGACUUAGACGUGGUAGUCCGGUCUCACGACUGUCCGUACAUAGUGAGGUGUUUGGGCUGCUUCGUGACUGAUGCUGAUGUCUGGAUCUGCAUGGAGCUCAUGGCUUCUUGCUUCGAUAAGCUCCUGAAGAGGCUCGGAGCGCCCAUACCUGAGGCUAUACUGGGGAAGGUCACUGUGGCGACGGUGAACGCUCUAUCGUACCUGAAAGACACGCAUGGAGUCAUCCACCGCGACGUGAAGCCGAGCAACAUCCUUCUAGACGAGCGCGGCAACGUCAAGCUGUGUGACUUCGGCAUCAGCGGCCGCCUCGUCGACUCCAAGGCGAAGACUCGGAGCGCGGGCUGUGCUGCCUACAUGGCCCCGGAGCGGAUAGACCCGCCGGACCCGACGCGGCCGGACUACGACAUCCGCGCGGACGUGUGGUCGCUGGGCAUCUCGCUCGUCGAGCUCGCCACCGGCGUCUUCCCCUACCGGGACUGUCAGAACGACUUCGAAGUGCUCACCAGGGUAAUAGCUGAUGAUCCGCCUCAACUACCAGACACAGAUGACUUCUCGCCAGAAUUCAAACUAUUCGUGUCACAGUGCCUAACAAAAAACUACAGACAGCGCCCAAAAUACGCGAAGCUUCUAGAACACCCGUUCGUAGUGAAAUCAGCUCGCAGUUCCAUCUCCGUCGGCGCCUGGUACGCCUCCCUCUCCAUCGCGGGGAACAAGCCGGCCGGUGUGACGUCACAGGCGCCGGCCAGCAAUGGCGUCGAGACGCCCGUCACGCCGCAGCCUGUGAGGAACUUUGUGACUAGUUCUCAACAUUGGAUGGAGCAGGUCACGCCUACGCCGGCUAGAGCGUGGUGGGCGACGAGCAGUAACGCGAGCGCUGGCGGCAGCAGCUCGCAGCCCACGAGCCUAGAAACUGAUAUGUGCAACCACUCGCCUUAUCCUAGGAGAAGAACAAUAGACGCCUGCGCAUCUCCCCCGCCGCCGCCAGUCCGUCGCGUGUCUGCCGACAACCGCUGGCGAGCCUCUCCUGCGAGUUCGGGUAACACUAGUCCUAUAGUCCUGCAGAGGUUUUACCAUCAAAACCAGCAGAGGAGAUCCCGAGUAGACCUCCAUUCGACGCCUAGGCAUAGAAGUUUAAGUAGAGAACACAGUACUGGUCGGUCGCCCGAGCCUCCACCGAGAACCAGUCGGCAACACCAAAUGUUAGGACAUGAAGCAAACGGCAGCAUGACGGAGUUGGAGCCGCCCGCGCUGCACGAGCGCCUGCACCCGCAUCCACCCUCGCCGUUAUUACUCAAUGAUAGGUUAUCAGAAGGUCGUAGUCAAAGCUUAACCCGCGCGGAGCUCCGUAACGGGUACCGCGCCGAGCCGCCGCCGCCCAGCGCCGCGCACAAACACCAUCACGACGACCAGGCGUGUGGUCGGUCGCAGGCUGGCUGCACUCGCUCGCGGGGCUGGUGAAGCGCCGCCUCAGCGGGUACGUCAAGUGGCAUCACCUUGCAGCCAGGAGCCAGCAUCAGCACCAUGUGCAGCAUCGAUGGGGCAACAGCGAAAGUUGGAGCAUGCCGGCGUCCCCCCUCCCGCCCCGCGCGCCGCCGCCGCGCCCCGCCGACUAGCGCGCCACGCCACAGCCGCGCCACACCCACUCCCACA
rnacentral:misc_RNA from 1 species